AACCGGAUUAGAUACCCGGGUAGUCCUAGCCGUAAACGAUGCUCACUUGGUGUGGGGGCAUAGAGCCUCUGUGCUGAAGCGAACGCGUUAAGUGAGCCGCCUGGGGAGUAUGCCCGCAAGGGUGAAACUCAAAGGAAUUGACGGGGGCCCGCACAAGCAGUGGAGCGUGUGGUUUAAUUGGAAGCUAAGCCAAGAACCUUACCAGGGUUUGACAUGCUGGUGGUACGGACUCGAAAGAGGAAGGACCUUAUCGAAAGAUGAGGAGCCAGCACAGGUGGUGCACGGUCGUCGUCAGCUCGUGCCGUGAGGUGUUGGGUUAAGUCCCGCAACGAGCGCAACCCCUACUCUUAGUUACCAGCACGAAAGGUGGGGACUCUAAGAGGACCGCCGGCGACGAGCCGGAGGAAGGAGGGGAUGACGUCAGAUACUCGUGCCCCUUAUGCUCUGGGCGACACACGCGCUACAAUGGUAUGGACAACGGGAAGCCAGGUAGCGAUACUGAGCAAAACCCUAAAACCAUACCGCAGUUCAGAUUGUGGGCUGAAACCCGCCCACAUGAAGCUGGAAUUGCUAGUAAUCGCGGAUCAGCCACGCCGCGGUGAAUACGUUCCCGGGCCUUGUACACACCGCCCGUCAAGCCACCCGAGUUGCGGGCACCCGAAGACGCGUACUCUUAGGGGGCGUGUUGAGGGUGAACGUGGUGAGGGGGGCUAAGUCGUAACAAGGUAGGUGUACCGGAAGGUGCGCCUG
rnacentral:rRNA from 1 species